ACGGGGGAUGCAAGCGUUAUCCGGAUUUAUUGGGUUUAAAGGGUGCGUAGGCGGUUUGAUAAGUCAGCGGUGAAAUAUUUCAGCUUAACUGAAAGGGUGCCGUUGAUACUGUCAGGCUUGAAUAUGGUUGCUGUGGGUGGAAUGUGUGGUGUAGCGGUGAAAUGCUUAGAUAUCACACAGAAUAUCGAUUGCGAAGGCAGCUCACAAAGCCAUUAUUGACGCUGAUGCACGAAAGUGUGGGGAUCAAACAG
rnacentral:rRNA from 1 species